rnacentral:rRNA from 1 species
GACGAACGCUGGCGGCGUGCCUAAUACAUGCAAGUAGAACGCUGAAGAGAGGAGCUUGCUCUUCUUGGAUGAGUUGCGAACGGGUGAGUAACGCGUAGGUAACCUGCCUUGUAGCGGGGGAUAACUAUUGGAAACGAUAGCUAAUACCGCAUAACAAUGGAUGACACAUGUCAUUUAUUUGAAAGGGGCAAUUGCUUCACUACAAGAUGGACCUGCGUUGUAUUAGCUAGUAGGUGAGGUAAUGGCUCACCUAGGCGACGAUACAUAGCCGACCUGAGAGGGCGAUCGGCCACACUGGGACUGAGACACGGCCCAGACUCCUACGGGAGGCAGCAGUAGGGAAUCUUCGGCAAUGGGGGCAACCCUGACCGAGCAACGCCGCGUGAGUGAAGAAGGUUUUCGGAUCGUAAAGCUCUGUUGUAAGUCAAGAACGGGUGUGAGAGUGGAAAGUUCACACUGUGACGGUAGCUUACCAGAAAGGGACGGCUAACUACGUGCCAGCAGCCGCGGUAAUACGUAGGUCCCGAGCGUUGUCCGGAUUUAUUGGGCGUAAAGCGAGCGCAGGCGGUUUGAUAAGUCUGAAGUUAAAGGCUGUGGCUCAACCAUAGUUCGCUUUGGAAACUGUCAAACUUGAGUGCAGAAGGGGAGAGUGGAAUUCCAUGUGUAGCGGUGAAAUGCGUAGAUAUAUGGAGGAACACCGGUGGCGAAAGCGGCUCUCUGGUCUGUAACUGACGCUGAGGCUCGAAAGCGUGGGGAGCGAACAGGAUUAGAUACCCUGGUAGUCCACGCCGUAAACGAUGAGUGCUAGGUGUUGGAUCCUUUCCGGGAUUCAGUGCCGCAGCUAACGCAUUAAGCACUCCGCCUGGGGAGUACGACCGCAAGGUUGAAACUCAAAGGAAUUGACGGGGGCUCGCACAAGCGGUGGAGCAUGUGGUUUAAUUCGAAGCAACGCGAAGAACCUUACCAGGUCUUGACAUCCCGAUGCUAUUUCUAGAGAUAGAAAGUUACUUCGGUACAUCGGUGACAGGUGGUGCAUGGUUGUCGUCAGCUCGUGUCGUGAGAUGUUGGGUUAAGUCCCGCAACGAGCGCAACCCCUAUUGUUAGUUGCCAUCAUUCAGUUGGGCACUCUAGCGAGACUGCCGGUAAUAAACCGGAGGAAGGUGGGGAUGACGUCAAAUCAUCAUGCCCCUUAUGACCUGGGCUACACACGUGCUACAAUGGUUGGUACAACGAGUUGCGAGUCGGUGACGGCGAGCUAAUCUCUUAAAGCCAAUCUCAGUUCGGAUUGUAGGCUGCAACUCGCCUACAUGAAGUCGGAAUCGCUAGUAAUCGCGGAUCAGCACGCCGCGGUGAAUACGUUCCCGGGCCU